rnacentral:rRNA from 1 species
UACGGGGGGGGCAAGCGUUGUUCGGAAUUACUGGGCGUAAAGGGCUCGUAGGUGGCCAACUAAGUCAGACGUGAAAUCCCUCGGCUUAACCGGGGAACUGCGUCUGAUACUGGAUGGCUUGAGUUUGGGAGAGGGAAGUGGAAUUUCCGGUGUAGCGGUGAAAUGCGUAGAUAUCGGAAGGAACAUCAGUGGCGAAAGCGACUUCCUGGACCAAUACUGACGCUCAUGUGCGAAAGCGUGGGGAGCAAACAGG